UACGUAGGGUGCGAGCGUUGUCCGGAAUUAUUGGGCGUAAAGGGAGUGUAGGCGGUUGCCUAAGUCUUCUGUGAAAUCUACGGGCUUAGCCUGUAACGUGCAGAGGAAACUGGGUGACUUGAGUGUCGGAGAGGAUAGGGGAAUUCCUGGUGUAGCGGUGAAAUGCGCAGAAUAUCAGGAGGAACACCGGUGGCGAAGGGCGGGGUCUCUGGGCCGGAUACUGACGUGAGGAGCGAAAGCGUGGGGAGCGAACAGGA
rnacentral:rRNA from 1 species